UGUUUUCUCUCCAGACUCCCUUCAUCAUGAUGAGCAAGGUGUUCCUCCUCUUCGCCGUGAUCGCGCUCCUGGCGCUGACGCAGACCGCCGAUGCCUGCUACAGCUACGGCUCCGAGUGCAACCUGAUCACCGGCGGGUGCUGUGAAGGCAUGAAGUGUGUCUGGGCGAUGUUCACCAAGGCGAUCUGUUUGGACAAGAGCUACU